UACGUAGGGUGCGAGCGUUGUCCGGAAUUACUGGGCGUAAAGAGCUCGUAGGUGGUUUGUCGCGUUGUUCGUGAAAACUCACAACUCAAUUGUGGGCGUGCGGGCGAUACGGGCAGACUGGAGUACUGCAGGGGAGACUGGAAUUCCUGGUGUAGCGGUGGAAUGCGCAGAUAUCAGGAGGAACACCUAUAGCGAAGGCAGCAUCCUGGACUGGUCCUGACACUCAUGAGCGAAAGCGUGGGGAGCGAUCCGG
rnacentral:rRNA from 1 species